GACGAACGCUGGCGGCGUGCUUAACACAUGCAAGUCGAACGGAAAGGCCCUGCUUUUGUGGGGUGCUCGAGUGGCGAACGGGUGAGUAACACGUGAGUAACCUGCCCUUGACUUUGGGAUAACUUCAGGAAACUGGGGCUAAUACCGGAUAGGAGCUCCUGCUGCAUGGCGGGGGUUGGAAAGUUUCGGCGGUUGGGGAUGGACUCGCGGCUUAUCAGCUUGUUGGUGGGGUAGUGGCUUACCAAGGCUUUGACGGGUAGCCGGCCUGAGAGGGUGACCGGCCACAUUGGGACUAAGAUCCAGCCCAGACUCCUACGGGACGCAGCAGUGGGGAAUAUUGCACGAUGGGCGGAACCCUAAUGCAGCAACGCCGCGUCCGGGAUGACGGCCUUCGGGUUGUAAACCGCUUUCGCCUGUGACGAAGCGUGAGUGACGGUAAUGGGUAAAGAAGCACCGGCUAACUACGUG
rnacentral:rRNA from 1 species